rnacentral:rRNA from 1 species
UACGUAGGGUCCAAGCGUUAAUCGGAAUUACUGGGCGUAAAGCGUGCGCAGGCGGUGCUGUAAGACAGAUGUGAAAUCCCCCGGGCUUAACCUGGGAAUGGCAUUGGUGACUGCACGGCUAGAGUGUGUCAGAGGGGGGUAGAAUUCCACGUGUAGCAGUGAAAUGCGUAGAGAUGUGGAGGAAUACCGAUGGCGAAGGCAGCCCCCUGGGAUAACACUGACGCUCAUGCACGAAAGCGUGGGGAGCAAACAGG